GUGUGACUAAUAAGUGCGUACAUAUUAAUGUGGAAUCCGAUUUCUAUUCUACAAAAAUCGUGGUACCUACUGCUAUUAUUUCAACUAUUACCCGCCAACAUAAUUGCAGUUAUUCUACUAAGUAUAUACACAUAGGUAUUACCUACAUGCCAACACACGCACGCAGGCACACAUAACUAGUGUAGUCGAUUUCAAAUAAUUAUUUACAAUUUUGGUAAUUUGUUAGGUACAUUGGUAAGUAACAACGUUCAAAAAGAAGUUCUUCAUACACUAACAUUUAUUAAACAUGAACUAAGAUGUGAAGAUGAAAUUGAAUUGGGCCAAAGACUAGAAAUUUUAGAAACACGAUCAGAUAGUAAUGUUCAUAAUGAUAAUAGCAGUAAGCCAUUUAGCUUGUUGAAUGAUAUGGCUGAUUGUGCUAUACCAUUGAAUAAUGAAAUAGAUCUUAUUAUAUUUGAAGAUGACAUUUCUGGAGAUAAUAUAUUCCGAUCUAAUUUGAAUACAUUGGCAGAAAACAUGUAAAAGCUAUGGUUAAUAGAUUUUUGUACAAACUGUUCAAUGAUGAACUACUAAAAGACUAUUUGUUUACUGGCAAAACAGGAAAAAAAAAUUUUUCAACAUUGGCAAUAUGCUCUGUAAUUUUUGAUACUCUAAAACAACAUAAAAAAUUCAAAUGUGUAUCACAAAAUGAAAUCGAACAAAUUAUUAAAUAUAUUUUUGCACAAGCAACAUUUGAUUUUCAACGACUAGAUGCUAAGUUAAUGAAGGACUAAUUUUUUUUUAUAUAUACAUAAUUUAUUAUUAGCUGGUUAUGUAUCUUGGUAAUAUAUUUUAUAGGUACAACAGUUGAUUAUUUUUUUUUUUUUUAAUUUAAUAUUUUUACUUUAUUUUAAUAUAUUUUCUAUAACGGACUAAUUUUUUUUAUAAUCUGUAGGGUAUGGUACUCUAUUCCAUUUAAGAGUGAACCAGUUUCGCACACACAGACUGAGCCGCCAAACAGUGCCUGCCCCCCCCCCCCUAACCAUGCAAUGGCUAUGCGUUCUGCGAUUGGCAGACAGUCAUUGCAGGCCAUCGUCGAUUGUCGGGCACCUGUGCUAACGCUCUCACUAAUGCCCGGUUGGUGGUGGGGUUGCACGGAAAAAACAUGUGUUAGUCAGCCGAGUGGUUCAAUUUUAGAUGGAACAGAGUAUACCUUGAUAUUAUAUUUUACACAACAGUUUAUUAUUUUAUUUUAUUUUUUACUUAGAAAAAAAAAAUUUAAUAUUAAUUUAUUAUAAUAUAUUUUAUAUAGAGCACUAGUUUUUUUUUUAUAAACAAUUUAUUAUCAGGUAAUGAACCUAA